AAAAAAUUGGCGGCAGCUAUACAUGCAGUCGAGCGGAUGACGGGGAGCUUGCUCCCCUGAUUCAGCGGCGGACGGGUGAGUAACACGUGGGCAACCUGCCUGUAAGAUCGGGAUAACUCCGGGAAACCGGGGCUAAUACCGGAUGGUUCCUUCCUCCGCAUGGAGGAAGGCGGAAAGACGGUUUCGGCUGUCACUUACAGAUGGGCCCGCGGCGCAUUAGCUAGUUGGCGGGGUAACGGCCCACCAAGGCAACGAUGCGUAGCCGACCUGAGAGGGUGAUCGGCCACACUGGGACUGAGACACGGCCCAGACUCCUACGGAGAGGGAAAAAAAAA
rnacentral:rRNA from 1 species